AUUGAACGCUGGCGGCAGGCCUAACACAUGCAAGUCGAACGAGUGGCGGACGGGUGAGUAAUGUCUGGGAACCUGCCUGAGGGGGGGGGUUAACUACUGGAAACGGUUGCUAAUACCGCAUACCUUCAGAUGGGCCCAGAUGGGAUUAGCUAGUUGGUGGGGUAAAGGCUCACCAAGGCGACGAUCCGUAUCUGGUCUGAGAGGAUGACCAGUCACACUGGAACUUAGACACGGGCCAGACUCCGACGGUAGGCAGCAGUGGGGAAUAUUGCACAAGGGGCGCAAGCCUGAUGCAGCCAUGCCGCGUGUAUGAAGAAGGCCUUCGGGUUGUAAAGUACUUUCAGCGGGGAGGCGUUACCCGCAGAAGAAGCACCGGCUAACUCCGUGCCAGCAGCCGCGGUAAUUC
rnacentral:rRNA from 1 species